GACGUAGGAGGCGAGCGUUAUCCGGAUUUACUGGGCGUAAAGCGCGUGCAGGCGGUUUGGAAAGUUGGAUGUGAAAGCUCCCGGCUCAACUGGGAGAGGUCGUUCAAAACUACCGGACUAGAGUACAGUAGAGGGAAGUGGAAUUCCGGGUGUAGUGGUGAAAUGCGUAGAUAUCCGGAGGAACACCAGUGGCGAAAGCGGCUUCCAGGACUGUAACUGACGCUCAGACGCGAAAGCUAGGGUAGCAAACGGG
rnacentral:rRNA from 1 species